CUUGAGAGUCCUGGCCUCAGGGAAACCAGCUGAAACAGCUCUUCUCCCGCCUUUCCAUUAGGCAGAAUCUUUGAUUAACUGAGCUUCCAACUGUCUGAAAAUUGCAGGCACCCUUGAAGAUUUUCAGAUAAUGAGUGUUAAUGCCCCAUCUGAAACAAAAAAAUGAUAGUUGAAUUGGAAGAGUGCUGAAGAGGAGGGCACUGGGGAACACAUUUGUGAGCCAUCACACAAAUUCUCUGAGAAGCCCAGGCAGAAAUUCAGAACAUCACAUCCUAACAGAACAUAAUGUACUCCAGAAAGAGGAGAGAUAAUGUAUCCUAAUGUAUUCAGUAUUUGCCUUUGAUUGAGGUUUUGUAUCCGUGACUGGUAGAAGAAAUCAGAGUAAAAGCAGCUGAGGAAAGAAGAAAUGGAUGUUUGCAAUGUGUGAGUAAUGUGGACUAAAUGAUGACCUCAGUGAAAUGAAAAUCCUUAGUAGGGCAGCAGAUGGAUGUGAAAGAUGAGGAGACUAAGGACACUACCUCUUCCUGAAGACCCACUGACACACUAAAAGGUAAUGAUGCCAACUGGGAAAGAAGAAAAGGACCUAAAUUUGAAAGAAGACUGGGAAGGCAGGGGGGCUAUAUAAAAGACGCUUAAAUAAAUUGCUAUAAAGAUGGCAUCACCAGAUGGAGCUGUUACUUACACUCUUCUAAAUGCUUCUCCUUUGCAUCCAAGGACCUUCUCAGUUUUAAGACUUUAUAUAUUGCAUAAUUUUGUGAAAUAAUUUCUGUGUUCCAAAAUAUGGCAAAUAGCAGGGAAGACUGCUCUCUGUCCUAGUAUCUCCAACAGAGCUGCUAUUCUGGGAAUUCUUGUUGCUUUCUCAGGGUUUGUCAAUGAAGACAUCACCUGAGCCCUUUCUACUCUUUAUUCAAAGAGACUAUUACAUGACAGUGGAAAUAAAGUAUCCUGCACCACGACUACAACCAGUGCCUACCACACUGAUUUCGCCCUGCAGUGGUAAGCUUACCUGCAGGGCUUAAACGUCGCAUGUUGCUUUGGCAGAAAGACAAGCAGCUACAGCUGAUCCACACAUAACCUUAUCGAUUGUAUCUCUCCUCUCCCAGGCUUUCCAGAACAGUGCUUGAAAUGGGAGCCUCUCUGCCAUUUUUCUUUCUAUAGAUCUGUUUAUUCUUUCUGUUAUCAGUGCUCCCAAUAUGCAUUAUCUCUGUACAUUAUCAGCCACAGCAAAGCGAAAAGAAGAAAAGCUUUGCCUUUAAAAUAUUUAACUUAAAACCCCAGUUAUCUGAUCCAAAGCUUUGGCUCUUUCCCAGGGAAGAGAGCAACCUUCAGUUUAUUGCCCAUAGAAGAGCCUAUUCUUAUUAAUCAAGGCACCUCGGCACCUCAUUCAGUGAAAAGCCAUGCUUGGGGAAGCUGACCUGAUUGCUACCUCUGAGGAUCGAGGGGUGCUGGACUGUAUUUAAAGAGGCUAUCACAACCUUGGCAAAAAUUGUUUCCUCUUUGUUAAAUUCUUGUCUGUACCAGACACUAUCACGGGGCUUUAAAUUCCACUUUGGAAUUCUAUUUUUAGAGCUCAAGUGGUAUUUAUAUGGUGCUUCAACCUGACACGAGCUCUCUGCACAAGGCUGAAUUUAGCCUUGCAUGCACUCACUGCUGAAGCUGCUGACUAUGAUAAACCCAGAAGGGUUUGCUCUACAUGUGUCUAAUAGGCUACUAUGUACCAGAAAUGUAGGACUUCCAUGAUGGCUAAAAUUUCACCAAAUGCUUGCAACACAUUAACGAUGACAAAUUAUGUUUCUAAGUUCACAUUUUGUUGUCAAUGGUGUCUGUACUUCAUUACUGACUGUUACAGAAAAAUACCAAACCCUUGUUUUAAGAAUAAAUGAAAUAAGAUUCCCAGAUUUUUUUUACAGCUAAGAAAAAGUCCCCUUUUCAGUCUGGUGUUUGGUCAUGCUGUCAUCAGCCCUGGCUCUCUUCACUGGCACUCUCUUCUCUAAAUUUUGAGCUGUUGGCCAACUUGAACAAAUAGGCAGAAGAGCACAGGGGAAGAGGUCUCAUGGAUAUUAGACUCCCUUGGGCUUCAUUACAUAGAGGAGAGAGAGUACUAAUAUCACACUGACAGAAAUAUGCUGAACCUGUAUUAGACGGUAGAGAAGGCAAACAGGAGUAGAUGAAGACAUAAAUAUAAUAGAAAAUUAGAUGCUGUUGAUUUUGUUGCUCAUGGAUAACAUGGUAAUGUGGGGGAACAGAUACACAGGAGAUCAAGACCUGCUUACUCACAAUGUUGUGAGUUUUGUGUGUUUUGGUGUUUGUUGCUUCAGCUGCAGGUGCAAAGUGGGCAGCCAUAAAUGCCCCUUAAUAUAAAAAUAUAGAUUAAAAAACCAGUCCUAAGUGUCUUGCCCAAAUUCAGUCAGUGAUGGAAACAAUUAUAUACGUUGCUUCAAACUGUCUGGCCCUGAUAAAUUUCUGUUCAAAGGCUGAGCUGGGGUAAUGAAAAAUAUUCCCAGGAUGUUCUCAAUUUCAUAACUACACAUUAGCUAUAAGCAAAAAAAAAAACUCCAAACCCUAGAAACAAAACACAAAAUGAAACCAAACAACUCACAGUAGUAGAAUAAAGCAAUGAAGAAUGACAAAACCGAUGAAGAAAUCCACAAUGUGUUUGCCUGUGCCUCACAGUAAUUAAUGCUUUUUGAGAUAUUAGAUAAACUUUUCUUUGUUGUAAUAGAAACAGAUUUCCCAGAUCUCCUAUUUCAACUCUCAAGCUCCACCUUUUCUCAGCUUUGUCUGAAAUUAGUCAUAUUUUCUACCACUUUAAUAAACGUGGAAUACAAUUUGGAAAUUAUCUGUUUGCAUCAGCACUGGCAAUGAACAAUAGCUCAAAUUUUGAGAGUCAAGGCUUCAAUAAUAAGGCCUGAUUUUCUUAGCAAUCAGAUGCAUACACACGCGUACACACACACGCACGCACGCACACCACAUGUCUUUGUGAAUAGGGCCCAAAACAGCUGCAACCUUCCAGAAAUUAAUUGGAUUCUGGAUCAUUUGCAUUUUUAUAUAGUUUACCAACAAAAGAUGGAGAUAGCAAGUUUAUUAAUGUGAAAAAAGAGAGACAGAGGGAAAGAGAGAGAGGGAGGGAAAGUGAAUGUUUUGGUUGAGCCACUAAUCCAAAUUUUAAUACACAUAGUGCCUAUUCACCUUAUAAUACUUCAGCAGAUCCUCCAAGGUGGAAAUUGAUAUGCAGGUCUAAACUGCAGGCAGCUGUUAAGGACUCCUACUGAUGCCUAGGGCCUUUACAGUUCCUCAUCUGGGUAGACAUUAUGAUUUGAUAAUGGCCAUAUUCAGACAACACCCAAGGCAAUUCUAGGAUUUGCUGUCACAAUAGACACACUGAAAAUAAAGUCAGUGUAAAUAGAUUAAGAAAUUGACAGAAUAACAAGGCAGAAAGAAUUAGAAUGAAUACACAAAUGGCAGAUGACAACUCAAUGUAUUGUGAUACAGAGAUGGGAUAAGGAAAGUGGAGCUGGAGGAUUUAUCUUCUGCCAGUAUGCCUUCAACCUGCUUCCUGCCAGUGUGGAUGCCUAUUUCAUUGAAAACUGAAAUCUUUAUUACAAGAUUUCUUAUCUCUCUUGUUGUCUAUUGAAAAAACUUCCUUUCUGCUCAAUUGAAAGCGAAAGCUCCUGAAAACUCCUGAUCCAUAUGUCCAAGAGAGCUUCAGUUUUUCCAAGUAGUCAUCUAGUGACCAGUGGGUAAAAUUGACCCUCUUUUUACUUGGGAAUAGGAAGAAAAUACUGACUUGAUAUUCAGAGUACAGUGUGACCCUGAAUUCCGAUGGAAGUUGGUGUGAACACUGCAUGACAAGGUGGUAACCAGGGCAUUAUAUUAUGUGAUUCAUUUCCGGAUUUCUUAGAAAUGCUUGUGCUUAGGUGUUUGUGAGGUUUAGUGCAUGAACUUUUCUGUGGAGUCCUUUAUUUGAUGCCUUUGGGCUGAGGGGGACUAUGAAUAGAUGGAAUUCAGUUUAUUCACUUUUAUUGUGAUUGCAACUUCAUCACAGCCAAAACCAGCUCCUAGCUUUGCUCAACCCCGCCUGAAAAACCAAAUCAUACCUGAGUAAAGAAGGUACCAGACCAAUUCCUAUAAUACAGAAUAUGAGUUUAUAUGUGCAGAAGAACUGUGGAUAUUGAAUAGUUUCUUGGUUGGUCUCUGUACGAUAGACCCAGAGCACAUGCAGCGAUGGAAUAUCAAGCAGUGACAUCUCCAACAGGUUGUUGGGUGAAGAAGGAACUAGAACUCCUAUAAGGAUGAAAACGAAACUCAGCGCUGUGUAAGUGCUCAGCUGGACAAGGAUCCUGUGAACUUCAAUUCUGUGUUAGUGCACCUGCCAUUGCCAGACCUGGUGCACAGCUUUCCUGGGGAACAAAAGCUGGUUCGGAGCACACAGGAAAGCAAGGCAGUAGCACUGCACAGGGCUGGUCUAUAGCAGCAAGUGGCUAUUUACAUAGCAGUAAAAUGCCAUCUACUUUCACUAUGUCAGAGCUUUAGGCAGCAAGAUUGGCCUAUAAGGAGACACUGCAGUAAGAGGUGCUGCUGGGAGGAAGAAGGAAAGAGUAACUUUGACCCCCUGGGGCUACAUGAGCAGAAAGUUGUGCCCUCAGCUAUCCAGCCCAGCUCCACCUUCUCCUGCAAGCCCUUUCCUAUUUAGAUAUUUUGCUAAAAUCACUGAGAAACCUUGAGAUAACUCUCAUGUUUGAACAACGCAAAUCCCGAACCCUCAGUGCAGGAUAUUCAACCAACACAUCUUGAGUAAUCUGGAGGGAGUGUAGACUCAUUUUGAGUAAAAUAAUUAUUUUUGCUUGAAUUCAUGGGAAUUAACGCAGUGCUUGAGUGCUGUGUUGAAUCAGGGACAAAAUUAUAUGUGUCUUGCAUAAAUAAUAAUUAAAUCUUUAUGACUUUAUAUGUCUAUUAUCUUGUAUGGAUCUUGUGAAUGUAACAGUUCCAUCUAAUUCUGAAACAAUGCAAUAGAACAACUUUGAACUUUCAUUUUCUUACCUCUUUCUUUUUUUCCUCCUGCCCCAUUUCUUUUGUCUAGUAAGGAGUCUCCCUGAUUUUCCUACAUUUCCUGGGGUUUGUUUUCCUUCUGCAUAAAGUUUGACCAAUUCUUUUAUAUACGUUUUGAUCACAGUCCAUAAUUAUAUUAUAUAUCCUCCUUUUUUUUUUCCUUUGUUUCUUUUUUUCUUUGCUCUCCUCCUUCAGGUGUUAUUUUUAUUCCUCUUUCUUUGUGUGUUCUCAACCACUUUUGUUUCAUGCUCUCUCAUUCUUCUCUUUCUCUGAUUAAUUUACACUGAGCAUCUGACUCUAUUCCUCUCUCUUAAUCUGUCCUUCAAGGUUAGAGGAAGAGAUAAGAUGAUGGUAUGACCAGAGAAAGCAGAAAUCAGGCAUCAAGGAUAAAAUGGGCUGAAUGUCACAGAGCCUUCAAGUAUGAGGAAGAACAAGUUAGAGUAACAAAUAUUAAAAGAAGAGGAUGCAAGGGAAAGUUCAUAAAGAACAUGGAAAAAGGAUUGAAAACAAGGUCAGUGAGGGAAAAACUGCAGUGCUACUAGUUCUAUUCACAAGUUCAGUGUUCCCUGAUUUUUGAAGGACCCAAAGCUGCAAGGAGUAGAGAGCCCCAUUUAGCCUUAAAUCAAUCCUGUUAAAAGGAAUACCUUGAUUACAGUUAGCUUGCCAGAAUUUAGAAAUGAGACAGGAACAUGGCCAACAUUCUUCUGGCUGAAUACACAGAUAUUAGCGAGACAUAUUAUGGAAUGAUAAAGUAUCUAAGUGCACCAGGCCCUUAUUUAUCUAACUUUUGUUAACCUUUGCAGAAAGCUUGCCAAAGUAUUCUGGUAGUACUGGAAAGCCAAGUAAUAGUCUUAUAACCAGGCAACAUUUUGCAUGGCACAAAUAACUAUAUUUGUACUGCCUAGGGACUUUGUAAUUUCCUGCUUUUGAGACAGUCAAGAAAUAUGAGAAGUGUAAGAUUGAAAUCCUGGCCUCACUCAAGUUAAAGGCAAUAUAUUCAUUUAAAUUCCUGUAGUGCAGCCACUUUCCAGCUAAAAGGGUGCUGACGAAAUGUUGCCUGUGUGAACAUAUCUAAUUUAGAUGGUUUUAAAAAGCACCAGAGGAGAAAACACAGAAAGCUGAUGAAUAUUAGGGCAGGAGUGAUAGGAAAAUUACAGAUAGAACAAGAUCAUGAAAGGACUAGGGCUAUAAAGGGUGGAUGAGAGAGCAUAUCCAUAUAAGACUCUAAAAGGAACACAGGAGAGUCAAAAUUGUCAGGCACUGCAGAUGAAGCGAAAAGGAGGACAGACACAAUGAGAACUUGGAGCCAUUCUAGGCAAAGCAGAACUUGUUGCUACCAAAUGGGCUGAACUGAGGGCUGUGGCAGCAGAGAGUGAAGCUCAGGAUGUCUGGAAAGAGAGGUAUUCUGUGGCUGUGCUUGGGAAUCUGGCACAAUAUUACCAUAGCUUUGCAUCUAUUUACUUUGUAGCUAUAAAAUAUAUUUUGUUUCCAGAAAGUAUCAAACUUACAAUAUUCAGGAUCUAUAGCACUCAUUUUCUGUAUUUCAAGGAUGCCACAUCUGAACCCUGCCUGGAGACUUCCUUCUCCAGAAUGAGAAGACAACACCAGGGGCACCUCUCCUCACGUGAAAAGCUGUAUUUCACCUGUUAAAUAUCUUACAAUGCUUCUCCAAGCAGAAAUACAAAUAUUUGACUGCUGCUUCACUAGGCAAUAGAAAUGUGUUUUCUUCUUCUCUGUAGUGAGAAAGCAAUAAUAAAGCACUUAUUUCAUUCUCUGAGAGGCAGCAAGAGGGAGAAGCAGUUGCAUGACCAAAACCAAAUCCCGAUAACAGAGAACGGUAUUUGAUAUUAAUUUUCUAUUGUCUUCUCAAAACUCGUUUAAAUUCCUGAUGGAUAGGUCCUCCGCUUCUCCUUUUGGGAUUACCCUCCAUUAUUCCUAAUGUCCUUUUCUUAAUUUUGUAUUUGCUUUACAAAUAAGGUAAUUUUUCUUUCUCCGUAGCCUUUACAUCCUAUAAAAAUUUAAAACUUGUUAUAUUUCAUCUCAGUUACUGUUUCCCUAAGUUGCUUACACUUGAUCAUUUUUUUUUUCAUGCAAGUUCAUCUUCCUGUUAUCAUUCUCUGGAUUUGCUUUAGUUUAUCAGCUGCAUUCUAGCAAUGUGAUUAAUCAAAAACAUAUCUAGUAUUCUAUCCAGGCUACAGCAGAACUACACAGAGAGGGCUAUUAAGACAGAUCUCAGUGAUGCACAGCUUUCACACAGGCAGCCUGAAAUUUUGCUACGCUUCAUUGCGACUGUGUCAUGUUACAUAUGCAUGUUUAAUUUUCUGUUCACUAUUGCCCUUUAACACUAUGUAAGACAGUGACAUAAGGCUAUUCAGCUGGUUUACGCUCUUUCUGAGGACUGCUUGAAUGCUAGUAAUGAUGUCAUUAAAAAAAUAUGAGAUCUGAAUUGGACUGUGGACUUUACCCAGAAAUUACAAUUUUAUUUUCUUUUCUUUGUAAGCUGUUUAUAUAUAUAUAUAUAUAUAUCCUUUUGCAGCUAACAGUUUCACUUAAUGGAAACAGGAUUUUGCUUUGCAAAGUUUGAAGAAAGCCCACUUAGGACUUUAGUUACCCAAAAUAUGGAAGUUUUGCUAAUUAGGAAACAAUUCUAAUGCUCCAAUGGACAUGGCUAAUUCAAAGUGCACUUGUUAAAGAUUAGAAGUUAAAGAUCAAAAUCAGAAUAGUAUGUAGGCUUUGUAAGAAGUUAAUGCUGCGCUUUCCUGGGACAUCAUCAGCAGUACAUUUCCUACUCAACUGCACCUCAGGAAAUCUUCCAUUAUCCCCAUAUCAUCACUGGCGAAUCAGAGCUCAAGUCAGUCCAGCAUUUUAAUUAUUUGGGAAGCAUCAUCUCCUUGGAUAGUAAAACUGACAAAGAGAUAGACAACAGGUUAGCGAAGGCAUACAGAGCUUUCAGUAAACUCCAUAAAAGAGUUUGGUGAAACAAACACUUGAAGAAAAGUACAAAGAUCAGCAUUUACAGAGCCAUUGUACUGUCUACUCUUUUAUAUGGAUCUGAAUCAUGGGUCAUUUACCGGCACCACUUGCGUCUCUUAGAACGCUUCCAUCAGCGCUGCCUCUCAUACAAUCCCAAACAUCCACUGGAUGUGACCAACACGUCUGUCCUUGAACAGGCAGCAGUCACGAGCAUUGAGGCCAUGCUGCUGAGAACACAGCUGUGCUGGGCAGGGCACGUCUCCAGGAUGCAGGACUACCGCCUCCCUAAGAUCGUGCUCUAUGGGGAACUUGCCACUGGCUGCUGCAAGAGAGGAGCCCCGAAGAGGAGAUACAAGGACUGCCUGAAACAAUCCCUCAGCCUUGGCCAUAUUGAUCACCACCAUUGGUCUACCCUGGCCUCUAAUCGGGAGGCCUGGGACACACCAUCUAUAACGCUGCUGCUGCUUUUGAGAACACACGCAGGAUCACUCUCAAGGAGAAAAGACAGCGCAGAAAGAACAGUGUCUUGCCAAUACCAUCUAAGGAGACUUUCCUCUGUGCCUUUUGCAACUCGGACUUGUCUAUCUUGCAUUGGCCUUUUUAGCCAUCAGCACCCUUGUAGCAAGUGUGGGUAGAGCCCUUCUCAAAUCUUUGUUCGUGAAGCCUAGCCAUGAUGAUGAUCAACAGUACAUUGUUUCUUGUAGAAGUGAGACCUGUGGUACUAGAUGUCUACAUAAGAUCUUCAGAAAUGCACUUGAU